rnacentral:rRNA from 1 species
UACGGAGGGGGCUAGCGUUGUUCGGAAUUACUGGGCGUAAAGCGCACGUAGGCGGCUUUACAAGUCAGGGGUGAAAGCCCGCGGCUCAACCGCGGAAUUGCCCUUGAGACUGUAUCGCUUGAACACGGGAGAGGUGAGUGGAAUUCCGAGUGUAGAGGUGAAAUUCGUAGAUAUUCGGAAGAACACCAGUGGCGAAGGCGGCUCACUGGACCGUAGUUGACGCUGAGGCACGAAAGCGUGGGUAGCAAACAGG